UCAUUAGAUAUUAGAGAGAGAAACAUCACCUUUUCAUCAAAGCCACCAUCAAAGCUACGAGAUCUGAAUAUCGAAGAUCAAAGCCACCAGAUCUGAAGAUCGAAGAUCGAAGACACCAUGUGUUCAUGUACUCAUCCCUUUCUUUUGAAGCCACCAGAUCUGAAGAUCGAAGCAGGCUGAAAUCGUUUGGUUGCAUGAGUUUCUAGAGAGGGAAAAUUAUUGGAACACCAAGACCAAAAACACACACAAGUGUGCGAGUGAGAAGCAGGUCAGAAAUCAUUUGGUUCAUGGGUUCUAAAGAGAGAAAGUUGUUAGAACACCAAGAACACACACAAUUGUGUGAGAGAGAAACAGGUGAAUGGAUGUUUUAUGUUCAAGAUGAAGAUGGUUAUCAAGGAGCAAAGCAUAUUGUUUUGAAGUAACAAUGAAGGAAUCUUUUUUCACAACAUUAAGCAGAUACAUAUUAGAAUGCCUAUUGUUACUUCAAAUCAAUGGACAAUUCUAACAUGUGUAACACAUUCUAACAUGUUUACGGACCUAUUUUUUUUAAGGGUGCACCCCCAUAACCAAUUUGGUAACCAA